GCCUAGUUAGCUUAGUUGGUAGCGUCUGCCUUGUAAGCGCUAGGCCGCGGGUUCGAUUCCCGCCCGGGGCU
rnacentral:tRNA from 1 species